rnacentral:rRNA from 1 species
GAUGAACGCUGGCGGUGUGCCUAAUACAUGCCAGUCGAGCGAACAGACGAGGAGCUUACUCCUCUGACGUUAGCGGCGGACGGGUGAGUAACACGUGGAUAACCUACCUAUAAGACUGGGAUAACUUCGGGAAACCGGAGCUAAUACCGGAUAACAUGUUGAACCGCAUGGUUCAACGGUGAAAGACGGUCUUGCUGUCACUUAUAGAUGGAUCCGCGUCGCAUUAGCUAGUUGGUAAGGUAACGGCUUACCAAGGCAACGAUGCGUAGCCGACCUGAGAGGGUGAUCGGCCACACUGGAACUGAGACACGGUCCAGACUCCUACGGGAGGCAGCAGUAGGGAAUCUUCCGCAAUGGGCGAAAGCCUGACGGAGCAACGCCGCGUGAGUGAAGAAGGUCUUCGGAUCGUAAAACUCUGUUAUUAGGGAAGAACAAAUGUGUAAGUAACUAUGCACGUCUUGACGGUACCUAAUCAGAAAGCCACGGCUAACUACGUG